rnacentral:antisense_RNA from 1 species
GAACACAAGAGGACAGAGCUAAGGUGUAUGAAUGCGGAAAAACUUGCAGAAACUAGAGCUAGUCUUCGGAUUGAAAUGAAUUACCAAUAAAGGGUUGGGAAACGGAUCAAGGGGAGGGAAGCGUUUUGAUGGCCCCUGCUCUGAGGUUCAGCCCAUUUGCAGUUGCUGAUAACCUUGUCAGGUCACCAGAUAAAGGCAAGUCUUGUCGCCCUCAGGCACCUGGCUGCGAAGUAAUAAAACGGUUGCCUUAUCAUCUAAAGGUGGAGUUAGUCAAACCUCAGCCCAGGGUAAUUAUAGUAAACUGAAAUUGCCUGUCCUUUACAAAAAAAAAAAGGGGAGGGAGAGAGAAAGGAAAAGGGCUUAAGGCAGGAAAUUGUGUUUGUCUUUCUCCUUGGAUUUAAAAAAGAAACGAGCAAAACAGCAAGAAGUUUUCUAGGGAGUGAGAAAAACAGCCCGGCUAGACUCCCCUCACCCUGGGUUAACAGGAUUGCUGACAGAUCAGGCCCACGUGAUGGUCAAGAAAAGAGGCUCAGCUGAUGAAAAUCCAAGAAAUCUUCUUAGGAGCCUUCCUUUCUAAAUGUAAAUGACUGAGUCAUUGCUUUGCUAAGGAGGGAAGGAAGUUACAAUCACACCAAGUGACUCAUUCAUUGCUGUUAGCUCCGGCAGUUGGAUAAAAAGUUUUAGCAAAAGCAGCAACAAAUGUACUUUAAAUACUAGCACAGUAAGGGAAUUCCUCUCUUUCAGGAUGAAUGCCAUCCACACAAAAGAGCUCCUGUUGACAUCUCAUUUACAAUCUCCCCCAGGACACAGACAAGACCCUUUCAAUAAACCCAGCUCAGAAACACCUAUUGUUCAAAAUCUUCAACUCGCCACAGGCUACCACCACUCCCUAUGGCUUUGCAAAAUUAAAGAUUUAGAAGCAGGAUGGGGACGGUGGAAGCUAUGAAAAGAGGCAGGAAAAAAGUCCCUUUGACCCAAUGCUAUCAGAGAGCGUGCAUGAAGAAGAAAGUUAAUGGUAUUUCCAUUUAUAUAAGAAGCGCCUAAGAAAUGCCUGUGACGUUCGUGAACUAGUGAUUGUGAAUUCCAAAUCUGAUGCCAACUUUAUGUGUAAAGAAGCUAACUCCUGCCAACAUCGUGGCUGAAUGAACAGCUGGGGCUAUGCUUAACCCAUUCCCAGCUUACAAAAGCCCCAUGGCAGCUGCAGCGAAGCAUCAGGUGAGUCUGAUAUGGACUGUCUGUUUCCUUGGGGAUUUGAAGCUUGUCUGUCCUUUCCAAGUGGAAUCUUGUGCCUAAGUGCUAGAACCCACUCCUCUCCACUGAUUCUCUUCUUUCCAUUUCUGCCAUUUCCCUUCUUCUUUUAAUAAAACUUGGACAUUUUCUGGA